rnacentral:rRNA from 1 species
AUUGAACGCUGGCGGAAUGCUUUACACAUGCAAGUCGAGCGGCAGCACGGGGGCAACCCUGGUGGCGAGCGGCGAACGGGUGAGUAAUACAUCGGAACAUGCCCAGGCGUGGGGGAUAACACUUCGAAAGAAGUGCUAAUACCGCAUACGUCCUGAGGGAGAAAGCGGGGGAUCUUCGGACCUCGCGCGAUUGGAGUGGCCGAUGUCAGAUUAGCUAGUUGGUGGGGUAAAGGCCUACCAAGGCAACGAUCUGUAGCUGGUCUGAGAGGAUGAUCAGCCACACUGGGACUGAGACACGGCCCAGACUCCUACGGGAGGCAGCAGUGGGGAAUUUUGGACAAUGGGGGCAACCCUGAUCCAGCCAUUCCGCGUGAGUGAAGAAGGCCUUCGGGUUGUAAAGCUCUUUCGGCAGGAACGAAACGGCGAGCUCUAACAUAGCUUGCUAAUGACGGUACCUGAAGAAGAAGCACCGGCUAACUACGUGCCAGCCGCCGCGGUAAGAC